GACAUGGUAGCUCAGUGGUAGAGUGCAUGCUCUGUUGUGUAUUAUGUCAUGGGUUCAAUCCCCAACUUCUCC